AUUGGACGCUGGCGGAAUGCUUUACACAUGCAAGUCGAACGGCAGCACGGGGGCGAACCCUCGGUGGCGAGUGGCGAACGGGUGAGUAACACAUCGGAACGUGCCCACGUCGUGGGGGAGUAACGUAGCGAAAGCUACGCUAAUACCGCAUACGAACUCUGGUUGAAAGCGGGGGACUCGCAAGGGCCUCGCGCGAUUGGAGCGGCCGAUGGCAGAUUAGGUAGUUGGUGGGGUAAAGGCCACCAAGCCGACGAUCUGUAGCUGGUCUGAGAGGACGACCAGCCACACUGGGACUGAGACACGGCCCAGACUCCUACGGGAGGCAGCAGUGGGGAAUUUUGGACAAUGGGCGCAAGCCUGAUCCAGCCAUUCCGCGUGCAGGAUGAAGGCCCUCGGGGUUGUAAACUGC
rnacentral:rRNA from 1 species